rnacentral:tRNA from 1 species
AAAUAUAUGGCUGAUUAAAGUUAUGGUCUCUUAAACCACUUAAUUUCAAUAUAGUUA